GUGGGGAAUAUUGGACAAUGGGCGAAAGCCUGAUCCAGCCAUGCCGCGUGUGUGAAGAAGGUCUUCGGAUCGUAAAGCACUUUAAGUUGGGAGGAAGGGUAGUAACCUAAUACGUUGCUACUUUGACGUUACCGACAGAAUAAGCACCGGCUAACUUCGUGCCAGCAGCCGCGGUAAUACGAAGGGUGCAAGCGUUAAUCGGAAUUACUGGGCGUAAAGCGCGCGUAGGUGGUUCAGUAAGUUGGAAGUGAAAUCCCCGGGCUCAACCUGGGAACUGCUUUCCAAACUGCUGAGAUAGAGUACGGUAGAGGGUGGUGUAAUUUCCUGUGUAGCGGUGAAAUGCGUAGAUAUAGGAAGGAACACCAGUGGCGAAGGCGACUACCUGGACUGAUACUGACACUGAGGUGCGAAAGCGUGGAGAGCAAACAGGAUUAGAAACCCCUGUAGUCC
rnacentral:rRNA from 1 species